rnacentral:tRNA from 1 species
GAGAGAUUAAUUAAAAAAAUAAUAUGAGCUUGUCAUGCUUAACUUACUAAUUUCUAGUAUCUCUUU